rnacentral:rRNA from 1 species
CCUACGGGAGGCAGCAGUGGGGAAUUUUGGACACUGGGCGCAAGCCUGAUCCAGCAAUGCCGCGUGCAGGAUGAAGGCCUUCGGGUUGUAAACUGCUUUUGUACGGAACGAAACGGUCUGCUUUAAUACAGUGGGCUAAUGACGGUACCGUAAGAAUAAGCACCGGCUAACUACGUGCCAGCAGCCGCGGUAAUACGUAGGGUGCGAGCGUUAAUCGGAAUUACUGGGCGUAAAGCGUGCGCAGGCGGUUAUAUAAGACAGAUGUGAAAUCCCCGGGCUCAACCUGGGACCUGCAUUUGUGACUGUAUUGCUAGAGUACGGUAGAGGGGGUAUGGAAUUCCGCGUGUAGCAGUGAAAUGCGUAGAUAUGCGGAGGAACACCGAUGGCGAAGGCAAUCCCCUGGACCUGUACUGACGCUCAUGCACGAAAGCGUGGGGAGCAAACAGGAUUAGAUACCCUGGUAGUCCACGCCUAAACGAUGUCACUGUGUGGUCUCACUNCUCAGUACGAGACUACGCGNGAGUAGACGCGUCGGUAGUACGGCGCGAGUAGACGACGAAGAAGUAGACGCGUGAGACGUAGCGACGGACGACGACGAGGGAGGAGG